GCCGCGGUGACAGAACGGCUAUGUAGCGGUCUGCAAAACCGUGUAAAGGAGUUCGACUCUCCUCCGCGGCUCCA
rnacentral:tRNA from 1 species